GGUAGUUAACAAGGAUUUCAUGUGACGUCUGAACCUCUUUUUACAAAGAUCAACCUGAAAAUGACUAAUGAAGAUUAUACAACCACAAAAAUUCUUGCAAAUCAUAGUACCUAUCAUUAUUAGUAACAUUAAAUCAUAAUUUGCAGAUGCAUCUGAAUUCUGAAGCAGGGAAGAUCAUAUGGAGCUUGCUGCAGAAGAGGUACCUUUCAUUAUGCUUUUUAGGUACUACAAUACUGUAACAAUCCCAAGGACAUCAACUAGAUCGACACGAACGAACAUAAUGCACACACAUUUGUUGGCUAUGGUUGAAAGAAUCUAAUAUGCAUUACCAGUGAGGAGCCCCACGGCUGUCAAGAAAAUGACUGAUGAGAACAGCGUUGGACAUGACAUGAAAAUAUCUACAUGGUAAAGAUGCAGCAUCAAGAAAAUGACCACCGACCUUAACAUUUGCAGAAAGAACACGACAGUGCAAGAAAUGGGAAAAGGGAAGUGGGAAAAAAAAAUCGAACCGACAUAGUUAUAUGGUACUUGAUUCGAAAAUCAACAUGUAAUUUGUGGUUCUUGCAACUUUGCAGCAACAUCAUGUCUAUUUCAACACAGCUUCUGGACAAUCUACAUUCAUUUGAGGCCAAAAAUGAAUUACAGGAGGCAGUUAACCAAUGAAUUAAAUGCAUAAAAAAACAGUGAUAGUCCAGGGGAAAAAUGGAAAAAGGGUCAAGAACCUUGAAACAAAUCAUGAUAGGGACAACCAGAUUCUGUCCAAGCCCUGCUGCAACCUAAGUACCUAACCAAGAUUAGAGAAAGAUUAAGAAGACAUGAUGUGCUGAAGGG
rnacentral:misc_RNA from 1 species